AAAAAAAUAAACCCUGGAUUUCCGUGUUCAAUGUUUAAUUGUCCGUCUUAUAUAAAAUUUUUUUAUAAUUAGAAUUUUCAUUGUUAUUAGAUGAUAAAACAUGGUUAAUACUUUAUGUGUGACUUGUCUUUUUAAUUUUUUUUAUAAUUUUUUUAAAUAAGACUGACGGUCAAACGUUAGACACGGAAAUGCAGGGUUUGUCUUUUU
rfam:Oryza glumipatula chromosome 7, whole genome shotgun sequence.